GCUUGUUACAUCACAGACUGCUCCCUCACUUACCCCGCAACCACACAUAGUUUCUAGAUCACUGGCUCUGGGCUGAAGCAGAAGAAUUUGCAUUUCUAAUAGGUUCCCAGGUGAUGCUGCUGCGGCUAGCCUGGAGAUCAUACCCAUCUGUACUAAGAGAAUAGACUCCAAUGGGAAUGUCUGCUCACUGUUUUCUUCUAAGACCUGUGGCGUCCUCUUCUUAAACUCCGCCAGAGAAUCUGGACUGGGGACCAAGCAAAGCAGGCUUUCUACACGUGAUGAAGAAACAGCUUCAGAAAAGUGACUCCUUCCUGUUACUCUCUAAGUUGUAUGAUUCCAAAGUGACAACUCCAAGGUCAUUCAGACGGAAUUAUUGGGAUAAAUCGACAGUUGUGCCUUUCACUGAACUGUGACACUUCUACAGAUUUUGAAUUGGUCCAUCUGUUGGAAAAAAAUCCUCACGUGUGGAAGAUAAUAAGAAUGGUUUCCUCCUCUGGUGUGGCCAGUUUUUACUUGUAACCCUAUGCUGUGCUCCAGAGACAUGAAGCAAAUUCACAACCUUGAUCAUUUAUUUUAAAAUGUGCAGGAAAACUGUAGUAUACUUGAUGUGGGGUAUGUUUUAUAAAUGCAGAGGAGAAACUUU
rnacentral:lncRNA from 1 species